rnacentral:ncRNA from 1 species
GAAUAGGUGCUUCUGUUGGGAGCUUAAAAGGGAAGUCCGGUGCAAGGCCGGCGCGGUCCCGCCACUGUAACAGAGGAGUCCGUUGCGAUUCUUGCCACUGAUGAACCCCAUCGGGAAGGCAGCAGGAAGACGUUGAAUCUGGAGCCAGGAGACCUGCCUAUUCUG